GACGAACGCUGGCGGCGCGCCUAAUACAUGCAAGUCGAGCGAGGAGACGUAGCAAUACGUUUGUAAAGCGGCGAACGGGUGAGGAAUACAUGGGUAACCUACCCUCGAGUGGGGAAUAACUAACCGAAAGGUUAGCUAAUACCGCAUACGACUCCUGGUCUGCGGAUCGGGAGGGAAAGCGAUACCGUGGGUAUCGCGCUCUUGGAUGGGCUCAUGUCCUAUCAGCUUGUUGGUGAGGUAACGGCUCACCAAGGCUUCGACGGGUAGCUGGUCUGAGAGGACGAUCAGCCACACUGGCACUGCGACACGGGCCAGACUCCUACGGGAGGCAGCAGUAAGGAAUAUUGCGCAAUGGGCGACAGCCUGACGCAGCGACGCCGCGUGGGGGAUGAAGGUCUUCGGAUUGUAAACCCCUUUCGGCAGGGAAGAUGGAACGGGUAACCGUUCGGACGGUACCUGCAGAAGCAGCCACGGCUAACUUCGUGCCAGCCGCCGCAGUAAUAC
rnacentral:rRNA from 1 species